rnacentral:rRNA from 1 species
ACACGAGCGGCGAACGGGUGAGUAACACGUGGGUGAUCUGCCCUGCACUUCGGGAUAAGCCUGGGAAACUGGGUCUAAUACCGGAUAUGACCUUCGGCUGCAUGGCUGAGGGUGGAAAGGUUUACUGGUGCAGGAUGGGCCCGCGGCCUAUCAGCUUGUUGGUGGGGUAAUGGCCUACCAAGGCGACGACGGGUAGCCGACCUGAGAGGGUGACCGGCCACACUGGGACUGAGACACGGCCCAGACUCCUACGGGAGGCAGCAGUGGGGAAUAUUGCACAAUGGGCGAAAGCCUGAUGCAGCGACGCCGCGUGAGGGAUGACGGCCUUCGGGUUGUAAACCUCUUUCAGCAGGGACGAAGCGAAAGUGACGGUACCUGCAGAAGAAGCACCGGCCAACUACGUGCCAGCAGCCGCGGUAAUACGUAGGGUGCAAGCGUUGUCCGGAAUUACUGGGCGUAAAGAGCUCGUAGGCGGUUUGUCGCGUCGUUUGUGAAAACUCGAGGCUCAACCUCGAGCUUGCAGGCGAUACGGGCAGACUUGAGUACUGCAGGGGAGACUGGAAUUCCUGGUGUAGCGGUGAAAUGCGCAGAUAUCAGGAGGAACACCGGUGGCGAAGGCGGGUCUCUGGGCAGUAACUGACGCUGAGGAGCGAAAGCGUGGGUAGCGAACAGGAUUAGAUA